rnacentral:rRNA from 1 species
AUGACGGCCUUCGGGUUGUAAACCGCUUUCGCCUGUGACGAAGCGUGAGUGACGGUAAUGGGUAAAGAAGCACCGGCUAACUACGUGCCAGCAGCCGCGGUGAUACGUAGGGUGCGAGCGUUGUCCGGAUUUAUUGGGCGUAAAGGGCUCGUAGGUGGUUGAUCGCGUCGGAAGUGUAAUCUUGGGGCUUAACCCUGAGCGUGCUUUCGAUACGGGUUGACUUGAGGAAGGUAGGGGAGAAUGGAAUUCCUGGUGGAGCGGUGGAAUGCGCAGAUAUCAGGAGGAACACCAGUGGCGAAGGCGGUUCUCUGGGCCUUUCCUGACGCUGAGGAGCGAAAGCGUGGGGAGCGAACAGGCUUAGAUACCCUGGUAGUCCACGCUGUAAACGGUGGGUACUAGGUGUGGGGUCCAUUCCACGGGUUCCGUGCCGUAGCUAACGCUUUAAGUACCCCGCCUGGGGAGUACGGCCGCAAGGCUAAAACUCAAAGG